AUAGGUUUGUGAUAAUUGAUGGAGAAGGUCCUCAAGAGAUGUUUGAUAGAUUGAUGACCUUGGUUGGCAAAAUUAGAGGGUAUGGUUGUGAAGAGCUUGAUGAUCACAAAGUGGUGAAAAUCAUGUUGGAAGCAUACUCACAAAAAAUGAAACCGUAGUCACCUUGAUUAGAGAUAAGAAAAAGUUUCAGCACUUCACACCAAAUGAUAUGUUUUGACGGUCCUUAAGUACUAAAUUUAACCAUCAACUGUCCCAAGAGUUGUUAUUCUCUGUCUCCAAAAAGAUUCAAUGCAGAAGAGGCAUGGGUUAUGCAAAAAUAUGCGAGGAAAUAAAAAGGGGCAAGUGCCCGGAACCUCGAAAAAGAAAGAAAAAGAGUGAGACAAGAGGAAAAAAAUAGACAAGUGUCCGGAGUAGAAUUAGGGGUACAAAGAUGCCCACUUGAGCGGAAAAAAUGAACAAGUGUCCGACAGUAGAAUUAGGGGUAUUUACUACCCACCUGAAAAAAAAGAAGAGAUAGCCCAUGUUCUCCCAAAGCAAAGAUCAAAAAGGAGG
rnacentral:lncRNA from 1 species